UACGUAGGGUGCACGCGUUGUCCGGAAUUAUUGGGCGUAAAGAGCUCGUAGGCGGUUUGUUGCGUCGGCUGUGAAAUCCCGAGGCUCAACCUCGGGUCUGCAGUCGAUACGAGCAAACUAGAGUGUUGCAGGGGAGACUGGAAUUCCUGGUGUAGCGGUGAAAUGCGCAGAUAUCAGGAGGAACACCGGUGGCGAAGGCGGGUCUCUGGGCAACAACUGACGCUGAGGAGCGAAAGCGUGGGGAGCGAACAGG
rnacentral:rRNA from 1 species